AACGAACGCUGGCGGCAUGCCUAACACAUGCAAGUCGAACGAGACCUUCGGGUCUAGUGGCGCACGGGUGCGUAACGCGUGGGAACCUGCCCUUAGGUUCGGAAUAACUCCCCGAAAGGGGUGCUAAUACCGGAUAAUGUCUUCGGACCAAAGAUUUAUCGCCUUUGGAUGGGCCCGCGUUGGAUUAGCUAGUUGGUAGGGUAAAAGCCUACCAAGGCGACGAUCCAUAGCUGGUCGGAGAGGAUGAUCAGCCACACUGGGACUGAGACACGGCCCAGACUCCUGCGGGAGGCAGCGGUGGGGAAUAUUGGAGAAUGGGCGAAAGCCUGAUCCAGCAAUGCCGCGUGAGUGAUGAAGGCCUUAGGGUUGUAAAGCUCUUGUACCCGGGAUGAUAAUGACAGUACCGGGAGAAUAAGCUCCGGCUAACUCCGUG
rnacentral:rRNA from 1 species